GGUAGGGGAGCAGGGUGGUUGUUCCGCCUGAAAAGCGGAAGGUCGGCGGUUCGACCCCGCCCCUGACCACC
rnacentral:tRNA from 1 species